UACGAAGGGUGCAAGCGUUAAUCGGAAUUACUGGGCGUAAAGCGUGCGUAGGCGGUGAGUUAAGUCUGUCGUGAAAUCCCCGGGCUCAACCUGGGAAUGGCGAUGGAUACUGGCUCGCUAGAGUGUGAUAGAGGAUGGUGGAAUUCCCGGUGUAGCGGUGAAAUGCGUAGAGAUCGGGAGGAGCAUCAGUGGCGAAGGCGGCCAUCUGGAUCAACACUGACGCUGAGGCACGAAAGCGUGGGGAGCAAACAGG
rnacentral:rRNA from 1 species